rnacentral:lncRNA from 1 species
CACAUCCUCGACCCCUGUCAAGCUAAAUUUCAAGCUCCGACGCUCCCAAAAAAUUUUAAGAAGACAAGGAAAAUUAAUUUUUUCUUACUUUGGUGCGGCGUGAAGACAAAGAAAGUAACGAAAAAUGGUGCACGUGCAAGUGAAAAAGAUUGCUAGGGGAGAAGGAACAAAUAUCCUCUAGCUUUCUCUCACUUGUAGUGCAGAAUAAAUUAUUCUCUGAAGUUGAUUUAAUCAUCUAGACUUAAAUAAACUUUGGAAGUGAUUUAUUUCCCUUUCAUAGAAGGAUCUAAUUUCCAAUUAAGUGGGAAUCUACAUCAAAUAGGAAACAAUCUUGUGUUUCCUAAAGUAAUGGAAGAUCUCUACACCUGCUGUCCUUUCCUGUGAACAGCCCAACAUGUGUGUGGGCAUUUGUGGAGCCAAAAUUAAUUAAGAAAAUUAUGGAGGUGACACAUGGAGUUUGGGUAAAAAGGAAAAAAAAUUACCCUCAAGGCACACAUGGACUUUUGACUAGCUCAUUUGACUAGUCUACUGUGCAAAGUUAAUUUUUAUUUGCAGGAUAUUCCACAUUGUACCAAAUUUUAGAUACCAUGAAGAAAGUUGGGUUCGACCAUAAAACCAAUUAGCAAUAUGAGGAGUAGCUCAAGCCUCAACCUCUUAUAAGCACAUGUAAGGUCCAUCUUCUCAUCAAUGUCAGAUUCAUUCUCAACACUAUUAGUUGGUCGUGCGUUUCAACUUCCUAGGUCAUGAUUGCAUCCUCUACGCUUUGAGGAUGGGUACAUCAUUAUUUGAAUUUUUAAAACCAUACAAACCUUCAUGAAUAGUAUUUUUAAGGGAGUUCAAAAUAAAUAAAUUUAUAAUCAUUAAUGUACAAGUUUGAGAAAUGUGAAAGCAUAUAUAAACGCUUGUGAUUGCAUCUUCUAUGCUUAGAUGAUGGUUAUAUGGUCGUUUAGAUUUUUAAAACCCUCCAAAUCUCAUGAAUAGUGUUUUUUUUAUUUGAGUGCAAAAUUAAUAAAAUUAAUAAUAAUUAUUGUAGGAGUGUGAAAAAUGUAAAAAAAUAAAAUAAAAUACAAUCACUUGUAAUGACAAGUUUUACAACUUUUGUGAAGCGGUCAUUCCGAAAUUCGACACCAUAAUCCAUAAACUUUAGGUUUAAAUUUUACCGUCAAUUUCAUUUACGCUUUAUUCUACUCACCAAAUUUCAUUUUUAUAGAUUUUCAUUAUCUAUUGAUAUAACAUAUAUAUUUUCUUUAACGGGUAACAGGUCAGGUCAUAUUACUCGAUAAUAUUAACGGGUCGGGUCAUAUUACCCGUGUAAUUUAACAGGUGUUACACGACACGACUCGUUAAGAUAUCAAGUAUGUCAUGAAAACUACACGGACACGAAAAACGUGAUAUGAAUGCAGGUCUAGAAAGAAACCACCACCCAAUGAUUCCAAGGAUAUAAUUCUACAGGGAGGUACGGCUUGAAAUUUAUAUUCAAUGAAAUAAACCUUUCAAAAUAGUAACAGCAUGACAUUUAUCACAUGGUCCAAAUUUGUAUUUUGAAAUACCCAAUAAAAAAUUCCAACAACCCCCCACAUGUUUCAAAGUGAAAAUUGAAUCACCAACAGGGAAUUUGUGAAACACAAGUUUAAUGGGGACAAGGAAGUACCAAAGGAAAAUGAGAAUCCAACGCAUCAUAGCUCGUCUCUUUUGGACUAUAAACUAGCCUUAGGAUG